GAUGAACGCUGGCGACGUGCCUAAUACAUGCAAGUCGAGCGAACGGACGAGAAGCUUGCUUCUCUGAUGUUAGCGGCGGACGGGUGAGUAACACGUGGAUAACCUACCUAUAAGACUGGGAUAACUUCGGGAAACCGGAGCUAAUACCGGAUAAUAUUUUGAACCGCAUGGUUCAAGAGUGAAAGACGGUCUUGCUGUCACUUAUAGAUGGAUCCGCGCUGCAUUAGCUAGUUGGUAAGGUAACGGCUUACCAAGGCAACGAUGCAUAGCCGACCUGAGAGGGUGAUCGGCCACACUGGAACUGAGACACGGUCCAGACUCCUACGGGAGGCAGCAGUAGGGAAUCUUCCGCAAUGGGCGAAAGCCUGACGGAGCAACGCCGCGUGAGUGAUGAAGGUCUUCGGAUCGUAAAACUCUGUUAUUAGGGAAGAACAUAUGUGUAAGUAACUGUGCACAUCUUGACGGUACCUAAUCAGAAAGCCACGGCUAACUACGUG
rnacentral:rRNA from 1 species